AUGAAACUAUUAAGAGUCAAGAUCUCCUACAAGGAUCCAACCAAAAUCCCUGGAGAGAGACUGCUUGGUAUCAAUGGUAAAAUCUAUAGAUUCCCGAUUGAAGUGGAACCAACUAGAACUGCUGAGGAAACUGCAGCCUCCACCAAUCCCACCUCAGAAAUACAACUGCCCAUGGAUACUGAACCCAGAGACAACACUGAUGAUGUCGGGUCUCAAAAGGGAUCCAGGACUGGAUCUAAAAAUGGAUCAGCUAUUGGCUCUGGGACCACCAAUACCAGAAACCAAUCACUUGGACAUAACCAUCAGGCUGGUGAGGCAACCCCCACUUCGAUGCUAAAAUCUCAGUUGCCUUAG
rnacentral:rRNA from 1 species